rnacentral:tRNA from 1 species
GCAUUGGUGGUUCAGUGGUAGAAUUCUCACCUGCCACAAGCCCGGGUUCGAUUCCCGGCCAAUGCA